GGCGGCAUGGCUCAGGAGGUAGAGCGGGUGGGCUAGGAUCAGAGGGUUCCUGGUUCGAUCCCCGGCUCCUCCA